rnacentral:ncRNA from 1 species
AGAGCAGACUCGGGGUGCUAAAGGAGUGAGACAAUGGUUAAAUGUUCACUCGUUAAUUUGGCUGAGACAUACCCGCAGAACUUGAUACGGUUAGUACCGUCGUAGGGAAGUCGUUGACAUUUAUU